rnacentral:rRNA from 1 species
AUCCUCAGAAACAAAAGUGAAGAAAGCUCCCAGGCUGAUCUCGGAAGCUAAGCAGGGUCGGGCCUGGUUAGUACUUGGAUGGGAGACCACCUAGGAAGACCAGGUGCUGUAGGCA